CCAGCCCAAGCAGCAGCUCCUUCCUUCUUCCCCAGGGACUGCCAGGCUGUGCACUGGCUAGUUAACAGGGCCAAGUCUCUUGCAAUAUAAGAUGGUAAAUGGAGUCAGUCCUUGGUCCUGUUGGAGCAGUAGACUAGUACAUGGGGAGGAACACUGGCCAACUCCAAGACAGGGAUCCUGCCUGCAAGACGAAGCCAAGAUAUGCCUACUUGGCAAGCAAACCGGGGCCCUUAAAAUCCAGCAUUGCAAGAUCAAAACUCUGUGAACUUUCUUGGCUGCAAGGAAAGCUCUGAGUUUGCUGAGCUACUCUGUGACUCGGAAAAAUCUGAGAACUGGGAUCUGACAAGCCCCUGUUUUGUGUGACAUCACUGGAACUGAACAAAUAUUGCUUUAGGCAAAUGGCGAUGUAACUAUUAUGUUGUUUUCACAAAUC